AAGUCGUAACAAGGUUUCCGUAGGUGAACCUGCGGAAGGAUCAUUAUUGAAUAAACUUGGUUGGGUUGCUGCUGGCCCUUCGGGGCAUGUGCACGCUCACUCCAUUUUUAACCACCUGUGCACCUUGUGUAGAUCUGAACAACUCUCGGGGAAACUCGGUCAGAGGAUUGCUGUGUGUAAAAGCCAGCUUUUCUUGGGUUCGGAUCUAUGUCUCUAUAUACACCAUAAGAAUGUAUUGGAAUGUAAUUGAUAGGCGUUUACAGCCUUUAAAAUCAAAUACAACUUUCAACAACGGAUCUCUUGGCUCUCGCAUCGAUGAAGAACGCAGCGAAAUGCGAUAAGUAAUGUGAAUUGCAGAAUUCAGUGAAUCAUCGAAUCUUUGAACGCACCUUGCGCUCCUUGGUAUUCCGAGGAGCAUGCCUGUUUGAGUGUCGUGAAAUUCUCAACCUUUCUGGUUUUUAUUAGCUAGUUAGGCUUGGAUUUGGAGGUUGCUGGCUUCUCAGAAAUCAGCUCUUCUUAAAUAUAUUAGCAAAGUCUUUGCUGACCAUCUUUGGUAUGAUAAUUAUCUAUAUCAUUGAGAAUCAGCUUCCGUUUCGGAAGGGUUUUGCUUCUAAUAGUCUCUAUA
rnacentral:rRNA from 1 species